rnacentral:rRNA from 1 species
AGGGUUUGAUCAUGGCUCAGGACGAACGCUGGCGGCGCGCCUAACACAUGCAAGUCGAACGAGUGAGAGAGAGCUUGCUUUCUCGAGCGAGUGGCGAACGGGUGAGUAACGCGUGAGGAACCUGCCUCAAAGAGGGGGACAACAGUUGGAAACGACUGCUAAUACCGCAUAAGCCCACGGGUCGGCAUCGACCAGAGGGAAAAGGAGCAAUCCGCUUUGAGAUGGCCUCGCGUCCGAUUAGCUAGUUGGUGAGGUAACGGCCCACCAAGGCAACGAUCGGUAGCCGGACUGAGAGGUUGAACGGCCACAUUGGGACUGAGACACGGCCCAG